CCUACGGGAGGCAGCAGUGAGGAAUAUUGGUCAAUGGGCGCAAGCCUGAACCAGCCAUGCCGCGUGCAGGAUUAAGGCCCUAUGGGUUGUAAACUGCUUUUGUGCGGGAAGAAACACCAGAACGUGUUCUGGCUUGACGGUACCGUAAGAAUAAGGAUCGGCUAACUCCGUGCCAGCAGCCGCGGUAAU
rnacentral:rRNA from 1 species